rnacentral:rRNA from 1 species
GACGAACGCUGGCGGCGUGCUUAACACAUGCAAGUCGAACGAGGUCCACUGCGUAGCAAUACAAGGGAAGACCUAGUGGCGAACGGGUGCGUAACACGUGAGGAACUUGUCCCGGUCUCUGGGAUAACAGUUGGAAACGACUGCUAAUACCGGAUGACGUCGGAAUCUCGCAUGGGAUACUGACGAAAGGGUUACUGGAUCGGGAGAGCCUCGCGGCCUAUCAGCUUGUUGGUGGGUAACGGCCCACCAAGGCAUCGACGGGUAGCUGGUCUGAGAGGAUGAUCAGCCACACUGGGACUGAGACACGGCCCAGACUCCUACGGGAGGCAGCAGUGGGGAAUCUUGCGCAAUGGGCGAAAGCCUGACGCAGCAACGCCGCGUGCGGGAAGAAGGCCCUCGGGUUGUAAACCGCUUUUGUCAGGGAAGAAAUCUUCUGGGUUAAUACCUCGGGAGGAUGACGGUACCUGAAGAAUAAGCACCGGCUAACUACGUGCCAGCAGCCGG